UAUGCCUCCCAGGGGAAGUACUAAUGUAUCAGUCCCCUGGCCAGAUACGUCCCUUUGCACACUGCUCACAGACGCCUCAGGGGAUGUAUUUCCGGUAACUCCCAGAGGGCAUGUUUCUAGAGGGUUCUAAGGCAGAGGCGUCCGAGCUUUACCCCCAUUUUGUGAGUUGCUGCGGGGCUCCUGGAACAAGGAAAUAAUGGCCAGUAAACAAGAGGUGUUUCCUGCCACUCCCAAGAAGAAAAUGAAACGUCGUGAAGUACCCAUUAGUCCUCCUCUGUGUAAGAGAAGGCUGACCUUGACGAUGCUGCCAGUGAUACUAGAAGAAGAGGGAAUAUCCCCAGCCGGGGACACAGCUGUGACCUUGGAAGGUGAUAACCCCAAGGCCACAGCGAUGUCUGUGCUGGGAGAAGUGCCAGGUAACCUGGCACUACCAAGGCAAAUCAGUUCGGAAAUGAAAAGUCAGUUGAAGAAGGAAAUUCAAAGAUUUGGGCAACAAUAUGAUAGAGUCUUCAAAUUGCUUGAAGGAGGGCAAGGACCUAUGGAAUUGCGGGAAAAGUUUUGUUGUGGUUUCCAUGAAGGAGACAAGUAGAUUUAAAAGAUAAGCCUUAAUAAGCCACCUUGAGACGGUACUAGAAAUAUUGGAAUUGGACCAAAUUCUCAACGAAGAUAAUCCACCCCAAAUUUAUAAUCCUAUUAGGGAAAUGAUCAAUAACAAACCAGAACAAGUUGGCUGUCCUAGAAUGGAACCUGAUAUUGUUGAUGCCUCCAGCACGUGUUAGUUAAGAAAAUUGUCUUCUUGAGGCAAAAAAAAAGUGUUAGAACUUAAAUGUUAUAAGUUUCUGUUAUUAAAAGUUGGGCAUUUGCCCUAAGUA